rnacentral:lncRNA from 1 species
GCUGGUGUACAUUUCCCAGCCUCUUCUGUUUCCAGGUGCCUGAGGACACUACCCUGGGCCUGUAACGGUCACUACUAACUUUGUAUCCCCAGGGACAGGGCAGAGGAGCCACCAAUGGUGGUGCCUUGGGCUCCAAAGUCUAGAAGAGCCACAGAAACUAAGAGAUGGACAGAAAGAGGUGAGGAGAGAGACCCAAGGAGGCUUCUGGGGAGGAGAGGGAAGGUUACCGCGGGGGAAGUCUGCACUCCCAGCAAGCCAUGCCUCUGGCAGCAACCCCACUGGGCUGGGGUCCCAGGGAUUUAUUGACUAAUCCUCAAUGAUACACUCUCCCUGAUUUAUUCUCUCUCUGGCUAGCACCCUCACAAGAUCCCAUUGUCUCCAGACACCGCUGGCCCAGGGCCUCCACCGCAGGGCCUCCUGCCUCCCAUGCAUUUCCGGGGGGGGGGGGGGGGAGAAUGGAGGCGCGCCACCACCAGGCACCGAACCUUCGCUUUUCUCUCCCCGCCCGAGGGUCAGGCUGCCAGGCCACGGGGCAGUGCCAGGCACAAGGCUGACGGCACCUAGUCAACUCGAGGAGCUGCCGGUGAGCAGGGUGACUGCCUGGGGCUGCUGGCAUUUGUGCCUGGCUGAUGCAGUCGCUCCGCGAGUCUGAGGGGGGAGGCAGGGGCGGGUGGGGGCGUGUCACCAAGGAAGUGGGUGUCAGGGGUGCUGAGCGAGGGGGCAGAGGAAGGUCAGAGUGGAGGUUUUCACUGAUCCGAGUGGGCGGGAGUAAAGAGAAUUCAUAAAAAGUUUCUUUCUUCUUUAAUGGUCUUUUUUCCCUAUCCGAGGGCCCGGGCGCGGGAGGUGAGGGAAGACGGGCGGGGGCAGGGCAGGCCCUCCACAAGUGACACUUAAUUCCCGGUCUGGACUGGGCCGGCAUUUGAAAGCAGCUAAAUUAGCAAAACAGAAGUCAACUGUCGAUUGCUUCAUUGGAGGAUUAAGUGUGAUAAAUGGGGGGUUUGUUCGCUCCCAGGUCCAGAUGUUGUGUCUAAGUGAGGGGUUUUUUUUUUCUUUUCUUUUUUCUUUCUUUCUUUUUUUUUUUACAUUCUUGGCCCAGGGCCCAUAUAUAUUUUGGAUACUGCUGGGAGUAUAUAAUAUCAUUGGAAAAUGAUGCGGUCUGCUAACCUUUUAAAUAACAUUUCCUCCCUCCUCUAUUUUCUAAUAGUUUGUUUUUCUUUCCAUGUUUGCCUUUUAUUGGGGGAAAUUUUUUUUGGAAAUUAAUGAGGCUCAAGUUUGGAGAGCAAAAUAAAAAAAAAAAACUUUUUUUUUUUUUUUUUUUUUUUAAUCUUCCUGCGGAGGCUGCCCGCGGUCCUCCGGCUGGGCUGCGCGGUGGCGCGCGCGGGCAGGGAGCCCGGGACUCUCCGCGGCGCCCGGCGCCCGCUCGCCCAGCCCGGGGCCUCGGUGCUGCGCGCCGCGGGCCUCCGGGAAGAACCUGCCCGGCCCGACGUGAGACCGGGUGGGGGUGGGGGCGCCUCCUUCCUGAGUGAAACCUACGGAAUCCGGCAGGAAUUCGGGCCUCCCAGAUUUAAGAAAACAAACAAAGGAAAGAUUGUCAGAGAGGGGCCGCCAAGAGCCGCCGGGCCGCCGCGCUGCCCUCCGCGCUCACCCCGGGGGCGCCCGGGCCUCCCGGCGGGGGCGGAACACGAAGCUGGAGUGGGGGGGGGAGGGCUCCCCCGGGUGGUCCCCGGUGGGCUUCCCUGAGCUGGGCCUCGGCUAACCUGCCGUCCCCCCCGGUCUCAGGGCGCCAGGGAAAGGAGAGUGUCGCCGGAGUGGCUGCCUGGUGGAGGAGGGGUCCUGCGGGAGUCAUUUGGGGGCAAUACCUAGCUUCGAGGCAAGCCCCCCGCAGAGCCCCAUCCCGCUCCCGCCCGCAGUGUCCAAGCCCCUAAACCACGUUUGGGGCUGAACUCCACGGCUCAAGUUCCUUUGUGGGCGAGGGCUCUUCCUCCGCGCAGCCACCUAGGUUCCUCGAGGCCAGGACUAGGUCCCCGUGCGGGCCCAGUGUAGGAAGCAUCUAGGAAGAAUUAUAAAAAGUGAGAAUGUGAGAAGGAGGCUCUGUAAAACAAGAAGGGUGGACACCUGUAACGCAACAGGACCCGGCGGUACACAUAUGGGUCUCCAGGGCCCGGUGCUCUCCGGCCCGUCUCUACGCGUUUACCUCUCCCUCACGACUCUACUCUCCGGUCAACGCCCCCUGCCUCUGUUUCCCUGUCUUUCCUUCUCUCUGUGUCUGUGUCUUGCGCCCUCUCUUCUUUCUCUGCUCCUAAAUCCGAAUGCGGCUCAACAUUUCUGGUUUCCCCUUUGUCUCUGUAGCUCUGUCUCCUUUUGAGAUUGUCUCUGUUCCUUUCUGUCUGCCCUCUCUUCGUGUGCCUCGGUCUCUGAGUCUCCCUCGCGCUUUCGCUCUUGCUCUCUCGCCCUCUCUCCUCCUCCUCAUUCCCCUCCGUCUCUCCACCCCGCCCCCGCCCUAGGUAGUUCUGCGGACGGGCCCCGGGCCAAGGCCGCCCCCGGCAGGGCCUUGCCCGCGCUGACAGAGCCUCGCGCCCGCGGCCCAAUUAGCGCGCCGCGCGAGGGACGCGGCAUCUGGAAUUGCGCUGCGCUCACGGCCAAGGCCGAUUGUUUAGUCUGCGCGGCGGGGCGGGCGGCCUGCGCGGUGGCCCCACAUCUGGAGCCGUGGCCAGACGGCCCUGCUGGCGGCUGGCCGGGGUGCGUGUGCAUUUUUAACUCUGGGAUUUGCUGACAAGUUAAGAAGUCAGAAAGUCAGUGGCGGCGGGAACUGGCGAGGCGCGCAAGGAAGGGAGGGGCAGGCCGAGGCUCGGGCGCACACGCCGCCAAGGAGACACGCUCCCGGGGCGCGCACAGCCGCUUGGCGCUUUGGCCCAGCGUGGCUUUCCCCAAAACUGCCCCCACCCGCUGCUGCCCAGCGCCACAGCCGCGUGUUGACUUUUCUUCCGGAUUGCUUCCCUCCCCCGCCUUUAUCCACUCCCAUUUCUCCUUCCUCUUCGUUAAUUAAGUGGCUGAGUUAUCCCAAAAUCCCACACUCCCCAGCGGGUUGGAGCUCCUUGGAGGCCAGCCUCUAAGGAGGAAGCCUGGGAAUCUCAGGGCUCCCACGCUUUGGUGGGAGGACACAGAGGCCCAGAGAGGGCCAGCGACUUGGCCGAGGUGGCUCAGCAGUCAAGUGGCAGGCUAGGACCGGAGGCCAACUCUCUUGACCCCUAAUAUGGUUCUUGGCCCAGCUCUGGGUCCCUCUUGGGGCUGGUCCUGACUAAUGAGUAUUCUUACAUCGUCAUAGUUCCUUCCCAUUCUUAGAAAUGUGCUUUUGCACUUCUACUCAUUCAUUUAACAAAUACCUGCGGCUCACUGCUGGCAAGACUUGGGGACUAUCCCUGUGGAUAAGACUAGCACGUUCUUAUGCUACAGAACUUACACUGGAAUGGAGAAGACAGAGAUGUGGGGGAGACAGACUUCACAGUGGAUCAAAUAAACUACUCAAAGUUACUGUCAAGGAGCAGGAACAAAAUAAGUAAUGUUUAUUGAGCAUUUAUUAUGUCCCAGGCACUAGUAAAGGUAUUCGCAUUAGGGGCACCUGAACAGCUUCGUUUCUUAAACAUCUGACUCGUGGUUUCGGCUCAGGUCAUGAUCUCAUGGUUUGCGGGUAAGUUCGAGCCUUCGAUGUCCAGGAUCCAUCAUCCAGGCUCUGUGCUGACAGCACAGCACAGAGGCCCCUUGGGAUUCUCUCUCUCCCUCACUCUCUGCCCCUCCCCCCCUCAAAAUCAACAAACUUUAAAUCUGCUAACACAACAUUCUAAAAAACAAAACAAAACAAAACAAAAACAAAGGUAUUUGCAUUUGCACUAACUCGUCCAUUCCUCGUAAUGUUCCGAGGAGGUACCUAUGGGUCCCCACUUUGCAGAUGGACAAUCAGAGGCCCAGAAAGGUUAAGUGAUUUUUCCAAGGUCACACACAUUCACACGUGGUGGAACUGAGGUUCAGGUUCAGGCUUGACUCCGGAGUCAGGCGUCUUAGCUUGCAAGAGACUGCAGGAGAACUUCCUGGUUGUCCACAACUGGAUAACUGGCAUCCAGGUAGUAUACCAUUUCCUCCCGCCGCAGAACAAGAGUUCACCAGGCCUCUGCCGUAAUGACCAUCACUAACAUUCGCGUAUACCUCCCAUUUUCAUCAGCCAUUUUCCACUCGGUCACCGCGACUUAGAUGUAAGCAUUAUUAUCAUUUCCAUUUCCACAUCUGCAAACUGAGGCCGGCGACUGUCCCCAAGCUUCCUGGGAAUGAGGACUUCCUUUUCUUUCCAGUUCUGGUCUGUUUUUCUCUUGUUCUGUUUUCCGUGGAAACAGGCCUCAACAGCCACCCUCAUCCCCGGGGAAUAGUGAAUCCAUCAUGCCUUCGAGAUGUCUCCCCAGGAGCGUCCUGGGAAGACAGCCCUGCUUUUCUGGUUGAACAGACCUACUUGAGCUACAUAGCCACACAGGGUUAGGGGCUUUGGGGUCCAUCCGGUUCCUAAGGUGUCCCCCAACACGGUCACAUUCCCUCUCUUGAGAUGGGAGAUGUGGGGUAGAGCACGUCUGCUUUCCUUGAGUCACAUACUCAUUUGAAAAUUUGCUGGAGGCUCCAGAUCAUCAACUUUGAGUGGUUCACGUGCCCGCAUAUCCUCACACACUCGAUUCCCACGUGUUUUCAGGAGAUUUAGGGGCUCCUCAAACGUAUCCAUGGGCAUCCUAGGGAUUCCAACACCCCGCCCCCCUCAUAUGGAGCAUCUCUGUACUAACGGUUUCUACAUUCCCCAGCCAUUGGCAACCUCCAGUGCACACCUAGAAAUAAGCCACACAGCAUCCCUGUGGAUGCCUUUGGAUCCUUUUGGGAUUCUUUCCACUGAAGAGUCAGCAGUUUGAAGCCCUUUGGCCUUUUCUUUCCCGAUCCUUUACCUUGGAAGUUGUCACGUGAUGGAAAGAGGCGGGAGGCAUCCCUCUAGGGCCAGGGAGCACACCUGUGUGUUUUGACCACAGAGGUGUGUGAAUAGUGUGGCUCUUGGAUAAAGCCUGGAUGGAGGAACUGCUCCCCUGCCCAGCAUCGUCACAAGCCACACCUUACCACUUCUCAGCAGGCACUCCCCACCCCCCUAAAGAUCAUUCCAACUUGUCACAACAGGGCUCCGGGCUAAACAGACAAGGUGGCGAUGGCCUGAUUUUACAGAAGGAGCAGGUGGGGCCCGGAGUGGCUGUAUCUCUCUCUCUCUGCGUCACACGAUGAGUUCAACCCUGAGCAGCAGGGAAAGUCUAGGUUUUCCCAGUUCUUAACCCAGCCUCCUUGUAGGCACCAGUGAUUAUGGUGAGCCUACGGUGUGCAAAACCCUGUGCCGGAGGCUGUAGGGACAGAAAAGUGAAGAACUCAGCCGAAGGGCACUAUUGAGGCCCCACCCAUGUCCCCGGGGCCACCUCCUAGUUCAUCUGCAGGCUGUCAAGGCCAGGAGGCAGGGGGCCUGGAGUUGCCUGCCCCAGCUAGCUUCUCUGCUUCCUACCUGCACCGUGUUUCCAGUGCUGGGACCCCGGGGUAGCUUUACUCAGCCUAUAGGGUAGCUGGGACGGGCCAGGGACUUAUGGCCCCAGGGACAACUCUAACUGAGGAGGGCAGGAGCAGAUGGAGGAAAAGGCUGGCUGCCUCAGCACUCUUUGGGAUGAUUCUAUAACGUGUUCUCAGGGUCCUUCAGCGAGCCCGCGUUGCCACAGUGUGAGUGGUUCAUGGACCAUCCUUCAUUGGCUUAUCUCCCUUCCCUUCCCGUCCUGUCUCCCUUCCCCAUCCACCCCCUCCCCCCGCCUCCAGCUCCCAAGGCCUACCUUCCAAAUAAGCUACCUGCACUGGAGUUCUGGCUUCAGAGACUCUUUUCAGGGGACCCAAACUAGGACACACAUACACACGCAGCCGUGUCUCUGAAAACGCGGGGCACAGAGAAGCGUGUUGGCCACUCACGACUGGGAGGCACCGAUAAUAAAUACUGAUGUGCACACGUUCUUAGACUGGGCCCCUCACUUUGCCAAACACAUUCAUUUCACACUCGCUUCAUUUAAUCCCUGCGACCAUCCCGUGAUUAUACCUGUUUUACAGAGUAAGAAACUGAGGCUAACAGUAACCUUCCCCAGAUCCCUCUGCUUAGUGGUGAAGCCUGGCUGUAUGCUCAGACCUUUCUGUCUCCAAAGCAGCCCCAUAAUGACCACACUGGGCUCUCAGGGGCCAGUGUUGGAGGAGCCCAGCAAGGUCCAGAAGGACUAGGGGUGGGGGACUUCCUGGAGGAGGUGGGGCUUGGCUUGGGCUUGCAGGACGGGGUAGGCUUUAACUGCUCUGACGGGAAGGAGGAGGAAAGUUCUGAACAGGGUUUGAAAGUGUGAAGAACUUUGAAAAGAACGGUGAGGAGCUGGGUCUGGCUGCCCAGGGAUCUGGGUCUAGGAAUUGGAGCAGGUCAAAGCCUGGCUGUGGCCGCCUGAAUAUCAGCUCAGAUGGAUGGCUCUUCCUUUCCCCUCCUGCCGGUUGGCCUGUGUCCGAGAGGGCUCAGGAGCAGGGACGGAGGCGGUUGGGGAGUAGCCACAGGAGUCCCGCUGUCCACCUGGCCUCUCCCCUGUUUCCCGGCCAAGCACCCCGCGGGACUCGAUGAUCCCCCCGUUUCCAAGUAGUAAAUAGAUGUAUAAAGCAACCAUUUCCAUUUAAAGCUCUGCAGACCGUAGGGAGGAAGGCCUGCAGGCCAUCUGGGCCCUUGUUUGGCAAUGUUUGUGCUCACAACAAACCUGAUAGACAGAGAUUUAUCACCGUUUUCAUUAGCUGAGGUUCGUUUGGUUUGCUGCUUUUCUACCACAGCACCCCCUCACCCCCCCCACAACACUCCAGAGUUACAGAUUUAUGGUGAGUGGGAGGGCCAGGGACUGGGGGAAAAGGGAGGAGGGGGCUGAGAGCAAGGUGUGGGCUUGGAGCAGGGGGCAGGGGGAAAUUAGGGGCUCUGGAAGGAGGGUUGGCCAGAAGCACACCGGUUCCAGAGAAAGGACCGAGGGAAAGAAAUGUGUGUGUGUGUGUGUGUGUAUUAGGGAGUAAGGAAAGACAUCUGCAGCAACACCCCCCCUCCCACAGGCACACACACAUCUCAUAAUCACCAUAAUUGUUAAGCAUGGAGGCUAUUGACAUUCUAAGCCAUCACUACCAAUGCUAGGCCAGAGGGUCCGGAAGGACACACGACUAGGGCAACCUCAGGGUCCGCUCGGGUCUGAACGUAAUUCGCAAAGGUCUGUACACCGUUCCUCCUGUGCUAGACACUGUCCUGGGGCUUUAGAUACAUUAACUCAUUUCGCUCUCAAACCAACGCUCUGGAGCAGACACCGGGGUUUUUGCUGUUCUGCCCCCCCCACCCCACCCCCACCCCCGCAGGCCGUGCCUCGCUCUUCUGGAGGAAGGAGCCUGGACGUGUGUGUUCCCGGAUGUUGCAGAAAUCAUCUUUACCCCUGGAUGUGCCUGUGGCACUCCCACAAGCACCGACUGGGAACCCCUUCCUCGGUUUCUUUGCAGCUCCUUUGCUGCACAACCGCUGCCACCAGGCAGGCUCUGUGCCCGCGUGGACCUUGCGGGACCCUGGCUCGGCAUCCUUCCCCACCUCCCGCCUCCUCCCUGCUCUGCCCUCCCCACACCUCCACGCCUCAAAAUUCCUCCAGCCUUCAAGUCCAUCCUGGCGUCCCCCUGGUGAGGCCAUUCCUGAGGUUUCUCAAUGUGGUCAGGCCUUCCAAUCAGAGACACUCAGAGCUGCCCUUUGAAAUUAUCUGAAAAAGAGGAAGAAGCCAGAGAACAAGGGCUCCCCGCCCUCGGAACGGAGCUCCUCUACCUUUUACGGCAGAGUCCUGUGUUGUAUUUCAUUAGAGCCCAGGUCCCAUAUUGAGAGAGGAAGAAAAGGUUUAACCCAGUGAUCAAUCCGAACGUUCUCAUCUUAUGGAUGAGAAACCAAGAUCGGAGAGGGUAAGUGACUUGUCCAAGCCCACACAGUGAGUUCACAGGGCCAGAAGGCUGAGGCUCCCUUUAUGUGAUGUUCCCCCCAGUGUGAGCGUCCGUCUUCCUAGGAGACUGUGAGCCCUAGAGGGAAGAAGCCAGAAUCAAACACCUCUGUCUCCAGCCACAGCUGAGUGUCAUUUCAUGGGUUUUUGCUCCCCAAAUCAGGCAUCUUUCCAAGAAGCACAUGUCACCAAUUUGCGUCCGUGGUGCCCAGUAGAGACAGGUUAUGGGGCUGCGACGGGGUGGGGGGAGGACAGCUCCUUGUCCCUGGAGAAUCCCCUCUGACUGGAACCCACACCACCGAGAAGCUUUGCCUCAGAAUUUCCAACAUACAAAGGACCUUCCUUUCCUUCCAGAUCCACCCAGCCUGCGUCUCUAGAAAACAGAGGGUUGUUUUGUUUGUUUGUUUUUGCCUGGACAGCUCUCAGCUAUAAUCUGAAGGAAACCAAAGGAACUUCCUUUCCCCCAACACACCAGGACGUCAACCUACCAUCUUCCUGCUAAGUGGCUGCAGCUCCCCCAUCAAAGUGCCUCCUUUGAGAUAGGGCCUUGUCCCCAGCAAAUCUAAACCCCAAGCAGGAAUGCCACCGUGGGCACUGAAUGAGGCCAGAUCCCUCAUAGGGGAAAGAGAGUGCCCCCCUAGCCACACAUUCCUGGGUUCUAGUUCUGGCUCUGCCCUGGGAGAUCCGGGGCAGGUUACUUAACCUCUCUGCUCUGGUCUCCCCGUAUGUGACAUAGGGACAAUAGCAUUGGGAACAGUGCCCAUAGGAUGGUUACAGAGACUGAAUGAAAUCACGAGUUGAGGGCACUCAGCACAGUGCUGGGUGCAGUCUCGCCCGUUGAUACGUUCCUGCGAACAGCGGCCUCGAGAACUAGCGAAGCUUCCAGGGAAAAAGAGCCUAGGGACAGUGGAGCUUGAAGAGACAGAAGACAGGGGGGAUCACCCAAAACAUCAGACAGCCCUGGGGGCGAGGCGGUCCCUGGAGGGGGCUUAGGGGGAGGGGCCGCCCGAUCACUGAGUGCCCUCCCCCCCCCCCCAUGGGAGUCCCGAAAGUGGGAAAAGAAAGAUCUGGCACCAAAACAGACUUUGAUUCCUUCCUUGGUUUGGCAGGAACGCUUAGCUUGGCUUCAUGUUCCCUCAAAGGGGCCAUUUUAUGUGAUAGUAAUAACAAAUGUUUUAUAGCACUUACUGUGUGCCAAACAGUCACUGCAUCUUUCCCCUCCCCAUACCCUGUGAGGUGGGGUAAUUAGGGAUUAUUAUCACCCGCCAGUCCUACAAGUACUGAGGGGGGCUAUGCAACUGGCCAGGGACCGCUCAGUCCUCAAGAGCAGAGCCCGGCUUUGCACGGGGCAGUCUGUGACUGGAGUCCCUUCUUCAAACCCCUGGGCCCCGGUCUGCUUUCUCCCCAGCCCCCUGUCCAGGCCACACCAUCCAAAGGCCUCCCUAGAUUCCUUUCCCCCUGGGGCCACAUCAAGUCCUCAUUUCUCGCUAUCAGGCUGGGAUCUGAUUCUCUUUCCAGUUCGAUGGAAAUUACCAAGCCUAGGGGCCCCUGGUGCGGGGUGUGGAGGGAGGGAGAGUGCACAAGGCAAAUAAGACAUAAUCCUGGCCCUGGGAAGUUUUCCACUCACCCCUUCUGGACCGGGCAAAAGUACAAAUGGAGGCCCACAUUCCAUAUGUCUAAAUAUUUAAAAGUUAUAAAUCAAGUUAACAAACUGUUAAAUAAAAUAUGUUCUAUUCUCCUAUGCUGACACAUAUACCUUCUAAAGAUCUGGAAAGCCAGGUUCAAAUUUAGAGUUCUCAGGCUCCUUGGAGCUCUGCACAGGGCAAGGCGGGGAGAAACUGCCUCUGUGCUCCCCCAGCUCCUGCCUCCCCCCUUCCCUUCUCUUCCCAUCCCCCACUGCACCUGAAACUUUGAAGCGCUUCCGGGUGUGGACACCCUGGGCCGCCAGCCGCUGGGAGGGCAAACCCGGGGAGGCAGACUGCCCAGGCCCCUCACGCAGACUCCUGUCCCUCUCCCGGAAUUCGGGGCUCUGGGAAUCUGGAGAGUGAUCUGGAAGGAGGGUGGCUCCCUGGGUAGACUCCUUGCCUUGUGAGAAGGGGCAGAGGAGGACCUAAGUGGGAUACCCUCAUACCCAGUCUAGAGGCCCUGGAGCUGAAUGAGGGUCUCCCUUCAUUCCUCUGUUUCCAGCUCCCUUUUAUCCAGUCAGCCAAUGUCUGAACCUCCUGAUGACUCUCAUUGCCAGACAGUUCUCUGAGCCCCAUCGCAACCCCUGUGGUCCAGGCCACUCUCAUCUGUAACCGGGUCACCAUGACAGCCCCCUACUGGCCUCCCAGUCCCCAGUCCUGUCCUUCCCUCUCUCCACAGCCAGACUGAUCUUUCUCCAGCACAACCUGGAUCGUGACGAGGUCAGGCUUGACACGCUUUUGGCUCCCCGCUGCCCACUGGAGAAAGCCCACACUCUUCAAGCUCCAGCCCUUGGCUCCUGGCCCCCCAAGCUCCCCUGCCCCAGCCCACACCACUCGCUGCCUCUAAAUGCUGCUCCGGCCCCUCGAGGCUGAUCCCAGCUCCCAGGGACACGCGUAGACCUCACUCAGCCUUGCUGCCCUUCUGGCCCAUUUCCCAUCCCCCACCUGGACCAGUUCCUUCUCUUGCAAUUUCAGCUCUGAUCCAACCUCCAGCAAUCCUUUCUUGUCAACAGCCCCGUCCUGCCUCCAGGCCCAUCAGGAGUCCCUGACUUGUGCGCUCAUGAUGGACCAUCUCCACUGUACUGUAAUUAUGUCUAAUCUGACCACUUCCCCAUACCCCAGCCACCUCACCCAAACCAUCACCGUCUCUUGCCUGGACUUUGCAGUAACCUCCUUACUAGCCUCCCUGCUUCUACUCUUGCCCCCCGCCCCAGGCAGUCCACUCCCCGGAGCCAAAGUGAGCCUUUUAAAACAGAGGUUUGCUCAUUUCACUCCCUCCUAGAUAUCCCCAAAGGCUCCCAUCUGACUCUAGGAUCCACAGACCUUGCCAGGGUUCCCGCACCAGUCACGAUCUGGCCUCUGUCGCUGCUGACUCCUCUUUUCCCCUCACCUAUCCUUCUCCAGUCACACUGGCCUCCGUGUUCCUUUUGGCUCACACAGGCAUCCCUGCCUCGGGACCUUUGCACGCACUAUUUCAUCCCUACACUCAGGUCUCUGCUGAAGUGUCCCCCUCCAAGACCCUUCUCUUCCCCACUGCUUUGUUUCCCUCGCCUUGCUUAUCUCCACCUUGCAGGUCAUAUAUCUCUUGGUUUCUGUGUGGCUGCCUCAAGCAUGUAAAAACUCCAUGAGAGCAGGGACUCUGAUUUUUUCACCUCAGUGUCCCGAGGGCCUAGACCAGCAUCAGGCACACAGUAGGUGCUCAACAAAUAUUUGGCAAAGGAAUGAAUCUGUUUAUGCUUCUAUGUUUUAACUAGAAUGUGUCCGUCUAAAAGCAGAACCCAUGGCUUAUUCAUCCCAGUGUCCCCACUGCUUAGCCUGGUGCUGGGCACAUAAAUGGAGGUCCUCAUUUGGAUGGUGAAGGGGAGAGGGCAGGACCAUAGCGUGCACCUAGGCACAGAGGUAGACAGAGCUAAGGUGGAGUGGAGCCCAAGUUAUGGAGGGGCCUGAAGGUUGCUGAGAAGACUUGCCCCUAUCUGAUACAGAGCAUUGCAAGGUCUGGGGCCAGAGCGAAGAAUUUUAUACAGAAACUAGAAUUUGGGAGAAGAGGAAUUCAGAAGGCAUGGAAUUGACCGAGAGAUUGCAAGAGCCCCUCACGCCCCAGUCUCAGAUCCCGGAGGAAAAGCAUCAUCUCUGAUGUGCUCACCUUUGGACACUUGUGGACCUGCUCACCUUGGGUUUGUCACCUUCUAACUCUGAACAUGGGUGGUGGACACGCCUGCCCCACCACCCCUGAGGCUGCCUGGAUUUGCGUGAGCAGGUGUAUGAGAGAAAGAUUUGGACGGGGAGGUUACAGAGACCCUGCGGACAGCGGAAGAUCGAAGGCCCCUUUUGGCAACCCCUCUGGCCCAGGGCUUGGUCACCAAGAAAGGCCUGGGAAACAGGACGACAGAGUGUCUAGGGUCUCCCCUCCCCCCUGCCCACCCCCAAGCCUUUACUCUGGGUCAGUUGGAGCCUGAAGUGGCUUUUAAGCAAUUAGACUGAGCACUGGGCCCUUGCAAAUCUAAUUGUUUCAAAAGCCCUUGAAGGGUUUGAGUCUGAGCUCUUAAAAUGCCAGAGAAGAGGGAAAUCAGUGAUGGUGGGAGGUGUGGAGGCCCUGGCUUCUCUUCCCCUACCCCACUUUCUGCUCUCCAUCUUCUCUGGGGAUGAGGAGGGGCCGGUUCGGGGCAAAGGAGCCCCUCCCUCCUGUCUCUUAAACGCCCCCCUCACCCUAUGUCAGGUAGCCAAGCAGCUGUCUGACCCGUCCCCGUGGGCAAAGCACUUCGCCUUCACCCCCAGAAAACAUGUCAACCGCUUCCCCGCGAUUGCACACUUAUUCAUGGGCUGGAUGCUUGAGAUUAAAAAGACACCCCAUGGGGCGCCUGGGUGGCGCAGUCGGUUAAGCGUCCGACUUCAGCCAGGUCACGAUCUCGCGGUCCGGGAGUUCGAGCCCCGCGUCAGGCUCUGGGCUGAUGGCUCAGAGCCUGGAGCCUGUUUCCGAUUCUGUGUCUCCCUCUCUCUCUGCCCCUCCCCCGUUCAUGCUCUGUCUCUCUCUGUCCCAAAAAUAAAUAAACGUUGAAAAAAAAAAAAAAAAAAAGACACCCCUGACCUCAGCGAGCCCAACAGUCCAGGAAGGGAGAAAAGAUCUGCUCCGAGGGAGUAGACAUAUAGGGGAAACUGAUCUUUGGAGAGGCGCAAAGACAGGGAGCUCUGGGAACACCAAAGAGGGUGGGCGUGGGGCCAGAACUGGAUGAGAGAAGGGGACAAUGCUCCACAAGGAGGUGGCAUUUCAACUGAGCCUGAAGGGUGGGAAGGAUUUUGCAGGUCACAUUGGAAAGGAGGAUAUAUCGUGAGCCCAGGAAAUGAACGUGAACCAAAAGCAGACCAUGGGCGGACAGAGAACCCUAAGGACCAGCAUCCUCCCCACCAUGUUCUGACUCGGUUUCCAACCAGCUCGGUGGAUUCUGUCUGUGUUCUCUAAGCUUUGGUAGUCCACAGGGGAGCUUGGGACCACUUCCGGGGUGGGGUGGGGGGGGGAGGUAAGUAUACAGCGUCCACCCCCGACCCCUGCCCCACUUCAACUAGAGCUACAACUCUUGGCCGGUUUACCUUUUGGGUUUCAAUGUAAAUUACGUUUAUUAAAAGGCAGUACUACUUUUAAACCACUCUACCUACUGGAAACUACUGGACCAGAUGGUUCCUUGGGUCCUUUCAAAGCUCUGAGCUCAGAGUUUUCUCAUAGCUCCCAGGCAGCCCUUCGUCUACUGAGGACAGAGCGAGAAACACACCCAGAACCCUGAUUGCCGGUUGGCCCCCUUUGGAAAUUGCCCGCAGGAUCUGAUUUCCUAGAUGGGCUCCUUCCCACCCGCCCGGAGGAGCUCAGCCCCACGACCAAACUGGAAUAAACCGGGUGAUACCUGAAGAGGCACCCUCAGAGUACCACCUUUGUCAUUUAAGGCAAACCCCCCUGAGCUUCUUUGUGGGGAUGAGUUACCUUUCCUUUCACCCAGCUGUGAAAAAGCGAGCCUGGGUUGCUGCCAAUAUACCUAUGCCUUGUGUGAGAAGUUGGGGGUGUCAGAGCUUGGACGGUAGCCCAGCAACCCGCGUAGAGAGGUCGCAGCUCGGGUUUUCAGAUGGGGUGGAGGCUCUUCAAGAAGGCCAAAGGAAAUGAUUGAGUAAAUCAAAGAGUGAACGGACAAAGAGGCUGUUGCCAAAAUGCACUUCUGUCACGAAAGGGUCACUUUAGAAGCUGUUAUCAGUCCUGUUGACUUUGGUGUGAGUGAAGUAUUUUAGAGCAAGAGUUGAUAGGGGUAGGGACGGUUUGGGAACCCAGGUAUCACUAUAUAAAAGAAUAAUACCAAAAGGAAUGUGACCAAGUGUAAGACAGUCCCAUAACUUUGUCUUCCCCUGGACUACCCCCACCGACCCGCCUCACCUCACCCCAGCCCUCCGCUCCUCACACCCCCUUUCUUCCCUGGGAGCCCAGCCAGGUGCUGAAAGGUGCCUUCAGGGGAGGGGAAAUGUAUUUGGCCUGGAGCAGGCGGGUGAGGGACAAAGUGUCAGUCUGUGCCAUUGUGAGGGGUGUGGCUGGCUGAGUGUAAACACGGGGGAGAGGCAGUGGCUUCCGGCCUGAGCUCUGGGCAGGAAGGAGUGAAAAUUCCUACCUGCGCUCCUCUCCCUUCCCCACCUGCCACCGCAGCCCCUUCCCUUCACAGACAAAGCACAGACUGGAAGUCAGUGGAAUCUUUGCUAUGACAUCCACCCUAGCCCAGGGCCUGGGCCCUUACAGACGUCCUUGGAUCCAGCCUCCGGCACCUGGGACCCCACUCUCAGAGGCCUCUGCCCUGGCCCACUUCCCUGGCUCCGUUCUCCCUUCACGUGCAAAAGCCCGAGUAGGUUUAAGAAAACAAAAACAAUAAAAUCUCCCACGGGGCUCCCAAGUUCAUAGGUGGAGAAGUCAGGCGUGUGUAACUUAGAACAGGUCCUUUAAUUUUUCUGGACUUCAGUGUCUUCCCAAACAGACAAAAUAAGCAUAAAGACAGCUCGAAAGCGCCUUUCCAGCGUUAGGAAAAAAAUAUAAGGCCACUCAACUGUAGGUCCAAAUCCUGCCUCUACCUCCUACCCUAUAGGUGGGGGGUCUUGAGCAAGUUACUAAGUGCUUGGUAACUCAGUUAGGGUGUGCUCAUGUGACUUAUCUCAAAGCUCCCAGAGGUAAAUUGCAUGACAGAAUGCAUGCGAGCCACCCAGCCCAGGCCCCAUAGGUGGGAGAUAUUCCUACCUUGCUAUAUGUCCUUGAACUAAGAUUGUAAGAUGCACCAUUAUUUCACGUUCCACUAAGAAAGAAAUAGUGCCGGGGCACCUGGGUGGCUCAGCCUUGCUUUUGGCUCAGGUCAUGGUCUCACAGUUUUGGGGGUUCAAGCCCCACGUUGGGCUCCGCAGCUGGCAGUGAGGAGCCUGCUUGGGAUUCCCUCUCUGUCUCCCUCUCUCUCUGUCCCUCCCGGGCUUGUGCUGUCUCUGUCUCUCUCAAAAUAAAUAAACUUAAAAAAAAAGAAGAAGAAGAAGAAGAAAGAAAGAAAUAGCGCCAUCAAUGGAUUGGGAGACACAUCUCAGAUAUCAGAGAUGAGUGCACCUUAGAGAAAUUUUUUUUUAAUGUUUAUUUAUUUUUUAAGAGAGAGAGAGAGCACAAGCAGGGAAGGGGCAGAGAUAGAGAGAAAGGGAGACACAGAAUCCGAAGGGGGCUCCAGGCUCCCAGCUGUCAGCACAGAGCCUGGUGUGGGGCUGAAACUCACGAACCGUGAGAUCGUGACCUGAGCUGAAGACAGACGCCUAACCGACUGAGCCAUCCAGGCGCCCCAAGAUGGGUGCACCUUAGAAUUGAAAUACUGCAUUAAUCCGGAGGACAGACAGGGAAAGGGCAACAAAAGAGUCAAUCUCUAACAGCAAUAGCUCUCCACUCGGGAUGCAACUUAGAAUCGGGCAGAGUAUAUCUGUUUAACCAAAACCUCCGGGGUGCGACCCAGUAAUCUUUCGGUGCCUUGUUUUCCCCAUCUGCAAAACUGGGAUAAUUAUAGAAUCUACUUCUGAUGUUGUACUGAGUUAAUUCACACAAGUGAUUUAGAGCAGCGCCAGGCCCCCCAGAAAUGCUAACCUAAGUAGUGUAAGUAAAUGUUAACGAUUUCUCAACUCUGCGCCCCAGGUCCUGGCACCCACGAGGUACCUCCUAAGUGUUGGUAGAAUGCAGUAGAUAUUGCCGCGUGACUGCUGCCCUGCCCCCCCCCCCCCCCCCGCCACCCCUUAGCUGGGAGAGGCCCUCUCUGGCCUCUGUCGGGGGUGGGGGCCCAAGAAGAGGCUCACCUGCCCAAAGGCCUUCCGUCCAAAGUUCAAGAGAGCCACACCCUUUCCAGGCACAGCGCCGCCCCAGCCCCCGGAGGCUGCUUUGCGGUGGGCGCCAAGAAACUGGACCUGCCACGGCCCUGCAGAGUCAAUGACAAGAACCAAACUUCUCCCCUAGCCUCCACCCCUCCCCUUUCCUGCUUUUCUUAUUUUCUUUUCCAUAAAGAUUAGUCUGUUGCUCCUCUAUCAAGGCCUCGAGGAUAAACAUGUGGUCCAGAGGCAGAGAAACCCCAGGCUUGAAAGCCCCUCUGCCCCCACCCCGGCCGCAUAAACCCAGGGCUUUUAAGCAAG